AGACGAACCGGACGAACGUUAUUCGGAAUUACUGGGCUUAAAGAGUGCGUAGGCGGCUUGGCAGGUUGGGUGUGAAAUCCCUCGGCUCAACCGAGGAACUGCGCUCAAAACCGCCAGGCUUGAGGGAGGCAGGGGUGAGCGGAACUGAUGGUGGAGCGGUGAAAUGCGUUGAUAUCAUCAGGAACACCGGUGGCGAAGGCGGCUCACUGGGUCUCUUCUGACGCUGAGGCACGAAAGCUAGGGUAGCGAACGGGAUUAGAAACCCCAGUAGUCC
rnacentral:rRNA from 1 species